GCCCUACCCCACUGAAGUUGGCUCAGUUGCCAGGCUGCAGAGAAUCCAGUCACCAAUCUGUGCAGGCCCACAAGUUGCCUGAGGGCUUGUUGUUGGAUGGGGCCAGUCUCUAGGGUGGGCUGCCUGCCCUGGCUGAGCUGGAUUAAAUCGGUGCUCUAGCGGGUGGGGCAGACCCUGGGCUAGCAGGCCCCAGGGAGAACUCCAAUGGCGUCUGUGUCAGCACACUCACACCAGGCCACAACAAUGGCCACUGCCAAUGUCCCAGUCCCUGGAGAGGUCUCACCCCUCACCGAGAUGCACUCUGGGCCUAUCAGAGAAUGAGAUGAGGACCUCAGUUUAGAAGACUACUGAAGGAGAAACCCAAGGUCUCAAGCUUGAAGGAUACAGAAUUAGAAAGCAUCUUUGAAGUUCUCAGCACCCAUGGG